rnacentral:rRNA from 1 species
CCUACGGGAGGCAGCAGUGAGGAAUAUUGGUCAAUGGACGCUAGCCUGAACCAGCCAAGUAGCGUGAAGGAUGACUGCCCUAUGGGUUGUAAACUUCUUUUAUAUGGGAAUAAAAUAGGGUAUGCAUACUGUCUUGUAUGUACCAUAUGAAUAAGGAUCGGCUAACUCCGUGCCAGCAGCCGCGGUAAUACGGAGGAUCCGAGCGUUAUCCGGAUUUAUUGGGUUUAAAGGGAGCGUAGGUGGAUUGUUAAGUCAGUUGUGAAAGUUUGCGGCUCAACCGUAAAAUUGCAGUUGAAACUGGCAGUCUUGAGUACAGUAGAGGUGGGCGGAAUUCGUGGUGUAGCGGUGAAAUGCUUAGAUAUCACGAAGAACUCCGAUUGCGAAGGCAGCUCACUGGACUGCAACUGACACUGAUGCUCGAAAGUGUGGGUAUCAAACAGGAUUAGAUACCCUUGUAGUC